AACGUAGGGGACAAGCGUUAUCCGGAUUUACUGGGCGUAAAGCGCCCGUAGGCGGCCUGAUAAGUUGGACGUGAAAGCUCCCGGCUUAACUGGGAGAGGCCGUUCAAAACUGUGAGGCUAGAGUGAGGCAGAGGAGCGCGGAAUUCCCGGUGUAGUGGUGGAAUGCGUAGAGAUCGAGAGGAACACCUGCGGCGAAGGCGGGUUGCUGGGCUGACACUGACGCUGAGGCGCGAAAGCUAGGGGAGCGAACGGG
rnacentral:rRNA from 1 species